GGGGAUUUAGCUCAGUGGCAUAAGCAUCUGCCUUGCAAGGAGACAGUCGUGGGCUCAAUCCCCA
rfam:Cavia porcellus supercont2_571 genomic scaffold, whole genome shotgun sequence.